GCUUUCUUAUCAUCAUCCAACGGUUGUACUAUUCUAAUUUUUUUGAAGUGUGGAACGCUUUACGUAAAAUUUGUCUUGUAAUAUUCUAUGUGAAACGCUGGUACAGAUUGAUCAGAAACGAUGAAAUCGAAUUAAUGUUGAAUUGAAUUUUAAAUAUGUUUUACGACAAUAUGAAAUGAUUUUAUUAAUAUUAUGCCAAAAAAAAAUUUUUAUGGAUUUAUUUUUAUAUAGUAUAAAAACUAUGCAAAUUAAUUAGUAGUAGAACGAGCAGAAGAAUUUAAAGUUUGUCCCACGUGUCAUAUGCUGUGAAUAAGCAUGUAGUCCGCCUGCGCAAGAUUUAAAUUAUGAUAAAAAACGCUCAUAUUUCUAUGAAUGGGGUGCUAAAGUUCAAAUUUUUUAGUAAUAAAAUUUUGAAAAUUUUUUUAUAAAAAAACUGUAAGUGACCUAACAAAAAAAUUAUGUGGCCUAAACUGACCUCACGGUGACCUAUCAUUUAAGGCCAUUGUCAUCUUAAAAUACUAUGAAUGGGGUGCUAAAUUUGCGCAGGUCACUAUUGCAUUGUUGUUUUGCAUUGUUUAUGUAAUAACAACGCCUCAUCAUUUUUUUGUAGAUUGUUUAAUGGAAAUACAGAACAAAACGACAGAAUACUCUUAAAAAUGUUCAAAAAGAUUGUAAGAAAUAAGUUAGAGAAUAGAAAUAAGCUAAAUAAACCUUAUAUAAAUUUAUCUGGUAGAGGACAAAUAUAUAAUCAAAAAUGUACUAGCUAAUGUAUAAUUUUAGAAACCUAAUUUUAUAAGUAUG